rnacentral:lncRNA from 1 species
GGGUGAAGUCGUAACAAGGUAGCCGUAGGGGAACCUGUGGCUGGAUUGAAUCCUUCGCGAUGGAAAUGCCCUCGCCUACUUGACUAAACUAAGGACCUCAACGGUAUAAACAUGUAGAUUUUCUACUUUUCCAUUUUCCUUCUUGUUUAUCAAUCACCAAUCAAGACAAACCGGGCACUACGGUGAGACGUGAAAACACCCGAUCCCAUUCCGACCUCGAUAUAUAUGUGGAAUCGUCUUGCGCCAUAUGUACUGAAAUUGUUCGGGAGACAUGGUCAAAGCCCGAAGAAAGAGCAAGAAAACGGAUGCGCUAACGCGCAACGGCUUUCGCGCUAGUUGCUCAAAAAAUCGUAUAAAAAUCAAGCAAGAAAACUAAAGAAAGCGUUAGCGCAUUGGACUCGAAAUCCAAAUUGUGCUAGCUGACAAAGAAAAAACAGAAUAUAACAGAGAAAUAUUGGUUCUGACUGGUUGGUAAAAGGACUCUAAAUCCUUUGAGUGGUUCGAUUCCACAACAGAACAAAGAAUGAAAUGAAUGAAUGAAAGCCAUGACCAUGCCUCCAGUAGGAAGAUCGAGGAACCGGUGCUGGCGCUCCUGGUUCAUGGGAUCCUAACCGCGAUGGGGAGAUUAGAUAUUAUUCUUUCGUAAGUCCAUCCAAUGGAGAUAGGUUGAGGAGAAAGAAAGGAGAAAACUAAAGAGAAAGAUGGACAGUAGAUUGACAGUAUCCGAAUCAAAUAAGAAAAAACGUAGCUAUUUCAUCAAAUCCCGAUUGUGUGGGUGUGAAGUGGAAAAAUCCCGUUCUGGCUGGCAGCGGGCAUAGGACUGAAAAUCCUCUUUCGCCGGGCCUUUUGGACUCGAAAUCCAAACGGAGCGAGUGGUUCGAAUCCACCUCAGAACGAACAAUGAAAAAAGCGUCGAGCGGGUGCAAGCUCGAGGAGCUAGGAAGGAUGGAAGAAAGCUUGACCGUUUUUUCACUGAACUACUCGAACUUUUUGUUCGAAAAAGCGGAAAUAGCUCAGUUCGAGAGAGGGUUGAGCUUCAUCGGUUAGUGUGCACCAAAGGAUGAGGUUUCUUUCCCGUCCUACAAAUUGAAACUGUUCUAGCUUGAUACUGCGAUAUCGUCAAAUCAUCCAAUGGAGCAUGGAAACCAUUUCAGUGGCGGUAAUGGCCUCCAGUAGUUUUCUAUGGAACCAUACCACUAUGGUCAUCUAUAUGAUUAGAACGUGCCGCUUCACUAGACUUUCCUGAACCAUCCAUUUGAUCCCCACGGUCGUGACACCACUUUCUAAACAAAAGUUUCCAAAAUCCAAUGCGGAACCAAGCAAUAAGAGAAAUUCAUCAUGGUAAUUAUUAGUCGAAAACCAAAGUGGAACGGAGAGAACGGAGAGUCAGUUACAAUGAAAAAAUUGUUGAGGAAUCAUGUUGAAAGAACAACAUUCUGUGUCAUAAAUAUCGUAUAUAGAGAUUUUUCAUGUAUCGACGCUUUUGAUUCAAUUAUGAAAGUACGUUGUACUGGACUUGCACCCCUAGUUACGCAGAAGUGCAAGCACAGAAGCGGAUGACCGGACCUUACCAACAUACUCAAAAAAGUAUUCUAUACUGGGGUUUGUGCUCUUGACAAGCAGUGUUUCCAGUCUAGCUGUGUCAAAUCGGGUGUGAAGUGUCCUUCUAGGUUCUGGCUGGUAGAGCAGAGGACUGAAAAUCCUCUUUAGUUUCACGCAUGGGACUCUAAAUCCCAAUUGUGCUAGCUCUGUGGUUCGAUUCCACAACAGAACGAACAAUGAAUGAAUGUGGGCGGUCAACCAGGUAAGCCUGUGCCCAGGAAAGAAAGGACUAGGGAGGGAUUGAGAGAAGCUUUCACAGUGGAAAAUGAAAAAAAGCAUAUCGUUCUUAGAAAUUGUAGAAUUUGACUCAGUUAGAGCUAUGGUUUAGCAUCAAGAGGGAAGUUUUGUAAAAGCAACAGGAAGAAUUGCUCAGAUACCCGUGAGCGUAUAUAACUUGGGUCGUGUUAUAAAUGCUCUGGCUAAACCUAUUGAUGGGAGAGGCGAAAUUGUAGCUUCUGAAUCUCGCUUAAUUGAAUCUCCUGCUCCAAGUAGAAUUUCCAGGCGUUCCGUAUACGAACCUCUUCAAACAGGGCUUAUUGCUAUCGAUUCGAUGAUCCCUAUAGGGCGCGGUUAGCGAGAGUUCAUUAUUGGGGAUAGACAGACUGGCAAAACAGCAGUAGCCACAGAUACAAUUCUCAAGAAAAAAGGGCAAGAUGUAAGAAGAACGAGAGCGAGCCUUCAUGAAAGAAAAUGCAAGUGAAAGAGAAUUGUCAAAAUUUCCUAAAAGCGGUGGUUCUUUUCUUUAUGGAUCGGGUAGAUCCAUAUGUUCUGAGGGGGAGACGAGGUGUAGCGCAGUCUGGUCAGCGCAUCUGUUUUGGGUAUAGAGGGCCAUAGGUUCGAAUCCUGUCACCUUGAUGUGGUAUUCACACAAUGGGGCCGAAGUGCAAAGCCCCGUAGCCUAUCCGCGGUCGGGAAGGCAGGCGAAAAGCGCGCACAAAAGAAAAAGAAAGCUAAAAAGCUUAUUUGUCAAUCCAUUAUCUUUGGUAUUCUUCUAUAUUUAGAUCAUAUUAUAUAGCUAUUUCACAGGUUUUAUUUACAUACCUCAGUCAUGUUAUUUGUCUAGCCUUCAAUCAGAAUAGCCUCUCCACCGGUUCCGAAGAUUCUUUCGGCAUCAAUGUGCUUUUGGAAUCUUCCUAUGAAACAAAUAACAUUCUGGAACAGUUUAGGACAGAACAGGCCUCAGUAGAAAGUGAGCUUUUUUCACGUAUAGCCACCUCGAAGCCCAAUUAGCGCACGGGCUGCCCCCUCAACUCAACCCUGACGAGUACGCAAACUUGGUCAGGGAGCAUUUAGACGGUGCAUUUAGUAUUGACCACUACCGCCAAGUCCAUAAUUCACAAAUUGAUGAAGUCCACAUAAUGGAGCUCAAAAGCCGAUUACCAAAUUUACCUUUUUAGCAUCUUGAAACCGCACAUAAGAAAUAUUAUGAAUGAAUCACCUACAAUAACAUACGAGAGACAACUUUCUAUUUUGUCGAACAACAAGUCGAACCCAAUGAACAAUUCCAUUCAAAGGAAUGUUCUAGAGUUUUUUCCACUAUAUUCGCGAUAUUUAACAAAAUGGAAUAAAUUCUUCACGAUUUCUAGACUUCCGGGAUUACUUCACUGAUAUCGAUUUUCGCCUAAGCACGGCCUCUAGGUUAGUUCAAAGUGUAAUACAACGAACUAUCGAUACACCGAAAAUGAGUCAAGAUGGAUACAUAAAAUGGAGACAUCGUGGAUUACCCAAAUUGGGACGACGAUAGGACAUUUCACUUUCUUUCGCAAUAUUUCUGAUCAUGACUCAACCACUAGGAAAGGGGAUUGCUUACUCUCAGCCACGUUUUCGCUUAUGCUUAGUCAAGUGAGGAUUCCAUUCGAAGUAACGUAACAGGAGCACCAUCUUCAAAACUUCUCGGGAUCCGGAGUUUUUCGAUAAAAGGUCCCAUCCUUCAAUAUCAUGAUUGGGUCAACCAGGCCAGAUCAUAAGUGAAAUAGUUUGAUCGGGUCGACCAGGUCAGGCCCGAUCAUGAGUGAAUAGAAAAUUGAAAACGUACAUAGCUGUUCCAGCGGAAAUACUUUGUUUAAUUCUACCACUUCUACUAGGAGUAGCCUUUUUAGUGCUAGCUGAACGUAAAGUAAUGGCUUUUGUGCAACGUCGAAAGGGUCUUGAUGUAGUGGGAUCGUUCGGAUUGUUACAACCUCUAGCAGAUGGUUUGAAAUUGAUUCUAAAAGAACCUAUUUCACCAAGUAGUGCUAAUUUCUCCCUUUUUAGAAUGGCUCUAGUGGCUACAUUUAUGUCAAGUCUGGUCACUUGGGCCGUUGUACCUUUUGAUUAUGGUAUGGUAUUGUCAGAUCCGAACAUAGGGCUACUUUAUUUGUUUGCCAUAUCUUCGCUAGGUGUUUAUGGAAUAAUUAUAGCAGGUUGGUCUAGUAAGACGAGGGGCGGCCGUUCGGUCGCCUAUGAUAUACGGACCAAUUGGUCAAAAAUGGGUUUGUGCCGCAGGUGUUGAACGAUCUACUCUACGCAGGUGUGGGCUUACAGGGCUAGGGCUCAUAAACCCUUUCUUUCAUUCAUCAAGGGGUCGGUCACUUUUCCGGGCCGGGAUCGAGAAGUGGAAGUCAUAAAAAAGAGAUGUUUCUCUUCGCACCUCAUAUCAAGAGGAAAGGUAGCUUGUCAAGCUGGUCUCACUAUUGGAAAUUCUAGCUUUUUUUUCACCGGCUCUUCUUCUUUGUCAACGCUACUAAGGACCUGACGGUUCGCCUACUUGAUGGAUGAAAGAACAUGAGAAAGGGUUCUAAAAUAAAAGGCUAGAAAGUCUACUACAGUACAGUCAAAGUCAGCGGCUGAGUUUGCCUAGCCUCGCCUACUCAUUUUUGUAGGCGAGCGAGUUAGCGAAGAGGCUUAGGGACAAGAGAGUGUCGGUGCGUACGUAGCCUUCAUUCUACUACGCUACACAAAGUCACUUAGCUCGACGUUAAUUAAGAGAGUAAAGGAGGAAUACCCUACAUAGAAGAACCACAGUUCUCUUACAAAGGUAUAACCUUUAGCUCCUCGGGGCUAAGCUGCUUCGCACCACUGAUAGUUAAUUAAGAUUCCAUUUCAAAGGCGCUACUUUGUUUCGCAAGCCUUUGUCAUUGUCAGUCAACUAAGGUUGGCCCUCGGCCCCCUGCGAAUCCGUAAAUCAGAGAGCAUGCCGCAAAAAAAAGGAUGGUCCCCUAUGCAUUUCAUUCUUUCCGGAAUGCAAAGAAUUAAAGUACCUGACCCCCCAUCACGGUGAACCUCUCCUUGUGAUCGGGAUGAGGUAGAUGCCUCCCAGCCGGGGGGCGGAUCGAAUCGGAGUUUCCUUAGGUAGCCACCGACCUACAGUUCUCCUUAAACUUCUGUGCUUGGUGGAAAAGAAGCGAACAAAGGUACGCUCGCUUGCGGUCUUGUUCUCUGCCGCGGACUGGGAACGCUCGCCAGCUAGGCCCUCUAGAAAAAAGUUGGAGCAACAUUGUAUGAGAACAUAUUACCCAUCUUCGGGGACAAGGGGCGGAACGACCUCUCGAUCUACUUACUGCAGCCCAGGACGGGCGUCGUCGUCUAGGCGUGACUUCUUGUUUUGAUCUCCCCUACGCCUAGGACGUUGUCUGGGCCAAGAGCCAUAGUUAGUUGCUGUUUCCAUUUGGUUCUUCUUUCUCAUUGUUGAUACCGGCAAGACCCAGCCAGAUGAUGAUGUCUGCUGGUUGGUAGUGAGAGGACUCUUAGUACCCGCAAAAAAAGGGCGCUGGUGAAAGAAAACAAUCAUUUGAUUUAGUUUCUUGCUCUCCCUUAGCAGCGGGAAAGGAGUCUGUCUAUCUGCCUAGCUUUGGUAGAUUUCCCCCAACGCAAUUCAAAAACGGAAAUUCCACGAAUCCCUGAGGUGGAUAAGUCCGACGACUCAGCAGCAGUGCGGAAUUGAGUUUCUGGUCCGGUGGAUCUGAUCUAUAGUUAGGGGGCAAUACAUACCAAAAGGUUCGAAGAAGGAAGGCGCAGUAUAUAACCAACCCACCCAUAGCCGGUCUAACUGCUGAGAGAGAAAAGUGCUUUUGUUUCCCUAAGAGUCCUCGAGUACACACAACUAUUGCGGAUCCUUUGCGAGAUCAGGAUUUUUGAUUCAUAAUUUAGAAUCAAUCCAUGUUAGGUCAACAUCGAGACAGAGCAUCUCAGUUGGCUCUGUCAAGGAAGUGAAACAGGCAUUCCUAGGUUGAGGUUACCAUUGGAUUGACCCUCAGUCAGGCCUCCGAUUCCAAGGAGUUGAUUCAGCAAGUUCCCCGCGCUACCCCGCGGGAAGUCUAAUCGGAUCAAUCGGUGGUUCCGUAAUGAGUAGUCGAAUACACAUUGAGGGGGCCUUGCCUCCUCCUUCCCGCCCACACCUUCAUUCUUUUCCUCCUCUGAUCUUAGAAAGCAUACUAAACUUCACUCCAAUCUUUCUCCAUUAGCAACAAGAGCAGCUCUAUCUAUCGGCCCUUGAUGAGUAAGCUUAGCUAUACCGCUUAGGUUGCAAAGCAGCAAGCUCCCUUCUAAUGCGUUAUUGCUUGGAGCCUUCUCGCUUAGUAAGCCGCCUUCGGCCCUUCCUCCUUCUUACUCUGUUUGGUAUUCGCUCGCGGGUUUGUUUCCAGGUUCUUUCGUUCUUGGUUGGCUCUCUCUAUUGUUGUUUGUAGAUCGUGCGUCCUGCGCAUUGAUCCGGCAGCGAGACCCGCCCUGGUUGUAAAGCGAAGCGAGCCGUCCUUCCUUUCAUUCGUUGCUUUGUCUUCGGUUUGUUUUUAAACUCGACCUUCUAUCGGGACUGUGGUGAUGAACCUUACUCCCCUCGGUCAAGUGGUUGACCCGUCUGUCCAAUAAGUUUACUAAGUGAAUGGGAAUCCUAUAGUUUGACCAGCCUGGGAAGAGUAGUCAGAGGCAAUUCGCUAAUAUGGAGCUGUUUAUAUCGGCUUUCUUUCCUAACUAACAGGAAAAGAGAGACAUGCGAGUUCGACUCUCGUUCUAUCCAUGUUCAGCAGUCCCUUUCCAUCUUGGUACUGUUGAUGGCAGUACCGCUCAACUACGAGAUGCUUGAAAGUCGAUGUAUCAAUAAUGUUCCCAAGAGUAGCAUCGAGCCUCGAAACGGCAAGCCAUGCUUCAAGCUAAGUCAGUAUGGAUCUAAUUGAUUGCUAAACUGAAGGAACGAUCUCUGUCGAAGAUUCUCAUUCUAAAGCAGGUGCCUAGCUCUGGAAGGAUGGACGGGAUCAUACCUAUUUGAAUUGAAGAACAUUCUGUAACACUUGUUUUUGAGUGGGGAAGGAAAAUAAGCACACAAGCGAACAACCAUCUAACCGUCAGUCCGAACUCCCAGGAUCAGUCCAUCAGUAAGAAAAAGCUUCCGUUUCCGUCAUUCAGCAGUGGAAUGGAAUAGUUCGAUGGUAUUGAUCGUCCAACCAUUGAUUGGAAUGUCUAUCGUGAUAAACCAUGUAAUUCUAUAAGCUAAGCAGAUGAGGCAACAAAGAACCUAACCGUCCUCUCUGAUUGACUUCAUCAGAAGAUUCCUAUGGUCUGGUUUACCUUUCUUCUUUCCUUGCAACCUUGGAUCGAUAUGGUUCAUUCCUGGGCUAUGCUCUUUCAACGGUUGACAGAAGAGGGGGACGGGCAAGGAUGAUCAGACUGCUUGGUUCGGUUCGUCAGAGGUAUUAAAAAAACCUUCUUUUUGGUCUUUUCUUUCUUGCCGCCACUUUAACAGGUGCCGCUGCAACGAGAGCGUAAGUUGCGGAGUUUUUUCUGGAUUAUAUUUUUUUGGUGCGCUCUUCCUUUUUUUGGAUAGAAAGAAGGGUUCAGUGGGAGGGCAAGGGGUAGUUAAGUUUUAGGUUGGCUCUUGUUUUUUACAGACUUUCUUUUUGGUGUAAUUUAAUAAAGAAGUAGCAAUUGUUCAUUUCAUUUCAUUUUUUUGCAUUGGUAGUUCUUUUUCAUUUGAAAGGGCAAAGGGGGGAAGGCAAAGGAUUGACCCUCAGGGAUCAUAUUACUCAAGAAGACUUGGGGGAAAAUAGCAGGAUUGGAAAAGUUCGAAAAGAUUGAGGAAGACAAAUCCAUUGUCGAAUCCUGCAGAGUGAUAACAUCGAGUAGUGGGGGCUGGCUUCCACCCCUGAGAGAGCUUGAUUUACCAGAAAUCCCGCCGAGUCCUAGUGGGCCUAGAUUCCGCGAUAAGUUCCGAGAAAUGGAGGAAAUGAUGCAUUCAAAGUUUGCAGAAUUGCAAGAAAGAAAAAAUCCUUGAAAGAAAAACCAAACAAGACCAGAUGUUCCGUAUUGUUAUCGGGAACGAGACUAAAUGUUCGGCCUUAAUGAGAUGGACCUUGAUUCCUCUCUGGCCAGGAAAAGAUGCGGCUCCUCUUUGUUCUACUACCUUCAUCCUCGGGUGAAGCCGGUUGGCUCACCAAACAAGAUAUAUACUGUGAUAUCAUUGGUAACCAUGCCUAACGGUCGGUCAUCUAAGCUAUCGGCCAAGGCAAGUGAGAGCUGUUCAAGAGUUGGGGGCAUAUCUUUAGCUCGAGCAGCAUCCGCUCCCGAAAUGUGAGUUAAGCUUCAAAAAAAGAAGAAGAGCUACGAGUGGAACAGCUUCUUCUAUUCCUUGUUGGCCUCCAGCUCCUUCUGUCCCUCAAUCCUCUUCUCUGCCCUUUUUUUACUAUUAUGCGUGGCAUGCCCCCUGUUCGUAUCUUAACAGGGCAACCUUCUCUUGCAAACAAUCCCUUCAUCGCUAACACCGGUAAUGCCCCAUCCCUUUAAUACUACCUUCGAGGAAUUUCUCUCGCGUCCCUGUAGUGAUAACAGCGCAUUCUCUAACAGCUUUGAAGCCGAGGCAGCCAUCCUCUUGCCAAUCCUAAACAAAGGAAAGAAAAGCCCUACCCGCCUUCAUUGGUUGAGUAAGGGGCAUUUACCUAUCAGUCCUAGUCCUAAGGCGCAAUCGGAGCACUAAGCCCAAUUACAGCUUUCCUCCAUAAAUUAGACCUCAUUCUCCUAGUCCUAUUCCUGAUUGUUAUUUCAGAUUCUGUGCCUGGGUGGUAUCUUCUUACUAUUGAUUCAACCUCUUCGGGCAAACGUUGUCACUUCCUUUAUUUGAAAAAAGGGGUCUAGAACUACAGUGAUCUGAUACCUUCUUCCCUUGGUCUGGGUAGGUAGGUUAUGUAGGCUACAACUGUUCAUAGGUUGUUCGAUCGCAAAAGGCCAAAUAAUCGAUUACUAGUAUGCCGGAUAUUGCCAGGAGGCCCUUCCCCCUAUGUUUGACUCAUCCUAGAUGGGUUCACACCUGUUGAUUCCGGUCAAAGAAAAAAGCUUUUUCACGGCAUCCGUCCCAUCACACCAAUCUACGCCAAGAUAAAGAAUGCUGGGUUGCCAGGAACAAACCCUGUGAUUCAAGGUCUUGCCUAGAAUUGCCCUAAGAAAAAUGCACCCCAUUAAUUGAUCCCUCUUUAGAGUAGUAUAAGUACAUCCUCGACUAUAGCACGAGUAGAGUCGAGUUCUCGUACUAACCUAAGAGCAGAUAUGCCGAAAUAUUUCCACGUUCAAGCAGCUAAUCAGUAAACGACUUCUCCGUAACAGUUUGAAGAUUGGCUUGCAACGCAAGUAGCGGCAAGAAAGGAGAGCAAGACUUCCUUUUCUAAAAGAAGAAAGAACUAGACUUCUAUAAGAAGAUUUUUAUAAUCGUAGAUCGUGGAAUAUUCAUCUAUCUUAUUAGGUAACUACUUUAGCUGCUCUCGAAACUGAACCAUCGUGAAUAGAACUAGCGCUUAAGGAAGAGUAGGAUCUGUUAGCAAGUCAUAUUCAAUCACCCGGUCUUCUCCUUCCUAGCUUUUAGAUUUUAUGAUUCUCUCUUGGAUUUUCAUACACUUAGCCAUGUACGUAUCUUGGCUAAACUCGAACCUAUAGUUGAUCCAUCCAUACUCGGUAAAGAAUCAAAAAGGUACUUGAAGACGACUUUGAAUGGGAGGAGGUUUUCUUUUUAUCCCCCCUAACCUUAUUUUUAUGUCUUCUUCAUUCUCAGUCCCUACGGUCCAUUGUAGGAUGAUUUUCCUAAGGCCUUGAAUUCGUUGGCAAGGUGAUCAGGGUCCUCUCCCUGGUCCUAUCGAACCAGUGACUUCUCUCCUGGGAUUGAAUAUGUUUUGCCUUUCCCCGAUGGUUCUGCAUUCCUAUGUGGGUAGGAUUCGCCAGGGAUGAGCGGCUUAUUUAGCCUAUGCGAAGCGCGAAGCAUAAGAGAAGAGUGUAGCGAAGCGAGUGUAAUACUUGUAGCGAAUAUAAGUAGUGUCAAAGCCUACACUGGCUUAGCUCUGCAGAUGUUUUCAGGACGAAGACGGUGAUACGAUACCACUCGCCAGUGAUGAUAAGAUUCACUCAUAGCAUAGGUGGAAGAUCCAUCCUAUUUUCCUUAUAGAUUUAUUUGUUCAAAGAAAAUACGCCUAAAAAUCAUUCAGGGAACCUACUCUUGGUAUCCUUUACCACAAUCACUUUCCAUAUUCCCUUUCUUUAGUUCAGAUGCUAUCGUACCUUAGGGAAAAUCCAAAUUUCUAUCAAUGAUUCCCACCCAACUCUGGAAUGACUCUCCCCUCUCUCCCUUAACAUAUUGAAGGCCUCUUAUCCGUCAACCGCACCUUAAUAGCUCAGACUUCCGAGCCUUGCUGGAUGAUGCAGAAGGGCCAACAUCAGAGGAUCAAUUGAAUAACCAACUCUCCCGCCCCGCUGCCGCUACUGCUCGAAAGCCUUUGGAUCCCCUACAGGACUGUCAUGAGCCCCUACAAGGAGUCAAAAUAAAGCCGAAACCAGAUACAGGAAGUGUUGACCCGGAUCAAUUGAGUGCGAGCCCUUUUAUCUUGAGCUGAUUCUCCUUAUUUUAGAGCUGUGGCGAAGGUAAAUUGAGCUCUGGCCUGUGGGGAAGGAAAAGGCUCUGACGAAGCUCCAGGGAUUACAGGAAGGUUUAGGCCUUGUGAGCAGCUCCAAACGGUCAGAAAAGAAGAUGGUCCCGCCCUUACUUCGGCUUAAGGAGUCGUUUUCUCGCUAUCUUCUUUGUCUGGAUUAGCCUUUUAGUAACAUAGUAGGUUGUUUGAGUUUCAGGAAAGGAAGAGGUGCUUUCUAAAACAGCCGUUACCGCUAUGUUUUUUUUUCAAUAAGUUCUUUUAGAGCAUCGUGCCCCACUGUCCGAAUAAAGUGUGCGCCUAAGGUGUCAUGUGUUUAAGAAUAUACGUAUAAUAGAAAUACUUUCCCAAUCCGUAUAUGAGGAAAGAAGGGUCCGGCAAUAAGCAGUAGAAGAAUAACCCGCAGAAGAAGUUUAAUCGCUUCCAGAGAUCGGAGCCAGACAAAGAUAAGACUCCACGGCGGCACGAUCGGGAUGAUCCAAACGGGUCAAAAAUGAGUCAAAACUUGUAAAACCCCGGUUUUGGCCUUGUUACUAAGGAGAAAUUGACAUACUUAGCAAACAGAGAUAGAAUUAUUUCAAAAAGAGAUCAGGAAAGAGCCAUUUCCCAACCAAAUAAAACAGGAAAGCAUGAGGCUCGAAGCCCUUUCUCAUUUCGAAUUUCAUCUUAGUAUCGGUAAUGCCCCGCCCAAAAGUAUUUCAUCGCAAUCACACGCUAGCUUGGUUGGAAAAGCUCGUUUGCACCCACUAACUAAUACCUUCUCGUCAGUAUUGAAUUCUCCAUGCUUUCGCCUUGCUUUGUAGUCAUUUUCUAUGAGUAAUCGGUCCGAACUCAAUUUCAAGAAAAAACUCUAUCUCGCCUGUGGCCAAAAGUAGUGAAAAUGGUAUUUAGCUUAGUCAAUAUACAACACAACUACUGAUUCUUCGCGAGAUGAAAACCCUUUGUCCUCCGUCUGCAGGGGCAAUUCUUGAGAAAAGUGCUACUAUCCCUUGUUUUGGUCAUGUCCACAGGCCUUUCCAUUCGUCUUUAUUUGUCUUUCUUUCGGCAAUCUAUGCAUAAUUCUACUUCUUGAACCACCGAAUCCGCUUUUGAAAAUGGAUAACUAGCUCCAUUCUGCGUCAAGUACUAAGGAUGGGCCCAAAGCACACUUUUGAAAGGCAUCGGUCACCUUAAAAACCCCAAAAGUAGGAAGUCUAGCGUGCUUCUUUAGUGCUGCUCUUCGAUCAGAUGCUUUCUCAUUGAACGAGGCAUAUUAAAGUGCAAGAAGUUCCAGGUCGAGUCCCGAGAAGGUGAUAGUUGAUUUUGAUCAUGAAGUUGGCACUGGACUUUGGAAUUGAUUCUGGACCCCCACCUGCUCAGGACGCCCCGCCUGCUCAGGACGAUCCCAUUACGGAUUUUUUGGAGGGGGACACGCUUGACCCAGCGCAAAAACGGGAAUUCAGAAAUAUUCUGAAUUUCUUGAAGACCAAAAGCAGAACGAACCUUCAAAAUGAGCGAAUCGUAAUAAAAAGAUGUUGGGGGGCGAGGGUAGUAGUUACGAAUCCAGGGCAAUCAACCACUAUCUAAAAACCCAGGUUGGACAACUGUGUGCUGGGGGAUUAGCAGGGGAUUUUGUCGUAAAGGAAUUACGGAAAUGGAAAAGGGACUUCAAAGCUUAGAAGAGACAGUCCCACUUCUAUCAGGGCCUUCUCGGGGUCUUGAGCAAUGUUAAUUUGCAUUGAUUGCAAACAGGGUGCGGGAUUCUCUGACGCAAACAAAGAAAUGGUCCCGGAGAAAGGAAUCAGUCUCUUCAGUCCGGCGCAUGCCUCAAAUUCAUUUUUCCUUUGAAUUACUCAUUUCUUUGAAUUUGGCACCGGAAACUUUUCUAGGAGAAGUUUGAAUCCGUUCCGUUCGGAUAUUGAUCGGUCUUGGUUUGACAUGGUUUACGCGUUACUGGUUCCCGGAAGAGUCAAUUUCUCCAUUAGCUAAACCCUUUAUUACCCUACCUUUGGACUCGUAUUUUGUUUGUACACAAUCAACGGAGGCCCCCCUGACAUAUGUUGCAACGUCUUCAAUAGCAUGCUCUUACUUCGUCUUUCCCUUAAUAAGUCAUCAAAUUUGGUGCUUUUCGAUCCCUAGUUGCUAUGGGGAACAAAGGCAGAAGUACAAUAGAAUCCUCCAUUUAAGUGGUUCUCGCUUCUCCUUGUUCCUGCUCCUAACUCCUCCCCGGGUAGUUCCCAAUGUUUGGCACUUUCCAUACUUCGUGGGUGCAACAUCAACAAAUUCGCUCAUGAUCAAGUUACAACCUAAGAUCUAUGACUAUAUUAUGUUAACUGUUCGUAUUUUGUUCAUUCCAUCGGUAUGCUCCCAGGUACCUGUAAUUGUGAUCUGUUUGCCAGAACCAAGGGGUCUUUCUGUGGAAACCUUCACGAGCAAUCGUCGUUUUUUGAUGGUUUUUCCGCUUUUCACAGCUGCUCUUUCCACACCCCCGGAUAUCUGGUGCCAAACCGUCGCCCCUUUCCUUAUAUAUUCGAUAAUCGAGUUUGCUAUCUUUGUGGCAUUGAUUGUACAAGUUCGUGAAGAGGGCUGGACGAGUAGAAUGAGGGAAAGCGGCUCGAUCGAGAAAAAAGAGGAGUAGACUAGAAAACCUAGAACUUCAAAAGUCACUAUCAAUGAAUUCCCGAGCACUUCUAAACCAACAUAUGCUCCGUAUAGACGGAAUCUCAGAUAAGAACCUAACAGAAGUUUCGCGACUCCUUCAUGGAAUAUAGGUCUUAGUAUAUAAAUAAUGUCAGUUCAAACCUGACGAGUCGUUAUCAUCUGUUGCCCUAACUGAGUCCAUUAGCUCUUGUUGCCCUUCUAUGGUGGGGAUCCAUAGAGAGUUCGUUUUAUGAAAUAUCUGAUAAAGUAAAAAAAAAGAGAGACAGGUGGUUGCAACAAUCACAAACCAUAGAAAAAAAUGCAUAUCACGUGUGUGCUCUAGUUUCGGGUUCUCCUAGACCACCAUUAUGAACCAAAAACAACCAUACCUAGUGAAGGGGAGCCCUUCGCAGCUGUCAGUGGAAAGAUGGAAAUUGGUUCUAAAAGAGCCGAGCUAGGGAUAAGAGAUAUGGUUGGUUGGCAGAAUGGAAGGAAUGCUAUUCUAACGGGAACCGGGAAAAGAAUGGUUCCCAAUACAGGGCCCGAAGAAGAGAGACGAAAGGAAGUAGUGAAAGAAGAAAUAAAGUACGCGGAUCAAAGUGAAAAAUCACAUAGCUACUAAGUCAAAACGUCCAAUGAGAAUGGAGAUCAAGAGGGACAUGAAAUCCAUUAGCAGCUCUAUCAGUUAUUUCAUUAUUAGCAUUCCUUAACCAAUAGAAAAAGAAAGAGAUCACAAGCGUUAUCAGUCUCCAGACGCAUCUAUCUAUAAAAAGGAGUAGGGCACCUGAUAUGAGAUACAUACUGGAGUCAAGGAUUGAGACCACUAGUGAGAAGGCCAAUAAAUCGUUUUUUUUGUAUCGGAAGGGAAAGAAGGACCAUCCAUUGGCAAGCACUAAAGGUAGGAAUCUAGUGGCUACUGCAUCAAGCUCCAUCCAUGAUUUUACACUCUAGAGGAGAGAACUGCUGUGAGCCAGCUUUGUACCGACCUUUCUUAUGCGGAAGCAAAACCUGUAUUUCUAUACGAGUUUCCUUCAGUUGCUUAGGGUGAGCAAGCCCAUAAUAUUCCAUUUAUAUUCUGUCUCCCUUUUCUGUUGGAGUUACAUAGGAGUGGUCCAUAGGGGGGGCACUAGUUACUGGUUGGGAACCAUGGGUCCAUAGGCGCGCGAAUAGGGGUCCAUCCAGUUUAUUCUUUUGGGGUUGUGUGUGGGACUUUCCUCUUGAUGUGGAAAAAUAGGCUCUUAGGGCAUAUGCUGCCUUUACCGGAAAAAGAAAGUCAACGGACUUCAUGGACGAGGAGGUGGAGGAUGAAUGGUAUGGCUUGCUCACUUGCUUAAAAACUUAUUUUCAAAAAUAAGGAGACAGAAUAUAAAUCUCCGAAUGGAGAAAAGCAUAUUAUAGUAUUUGCCCAUAAGCUUAUUCAAAAUAGGAGUGCUACAUAAGCAUAUGCUAAAGGGGGAGGAAUCCAUUUAUUAUUUAUUUCUUAGCCUGGGCCCAACUAUGUACAGAAAUCUAUCUAUUAUUGCCUGCAUCGACAGCAAAGUAAACUCUAGCUGAUGAUAGAAGAACAACUCUUAGGGCAGUUGCAAGGAAACUAUGAGCUAUUUAUUGUUCCUUUCUUAGAAGAAAAAAAGAUAAAGGAUGGCUUAUGGUCUAUUUUCUUACUUGACUAUCCUGCCUGACUUGGCCAAUAAAAGAUACCUAGCAUGACACACCAGCUACGCCAUCUGAGCCUGUCCACUUGCUAGUCAGGAAAAAUAAGCGCUCCGUUCCGUGGGCUUCUUUCGCAGCUCUCUUCACGCUCGCUUUACGAGUGCAACCAAGUUCAAUAAACUGUUCAUGCUAAUUCAUAGACUAUGCUGGUUUCUAUCUAAGAGUCCUGUGAGACGCUUCCUUCUCAUACACAUCUGAAGCAACGUUUGAUCAUCCGCAUUAGAGAGUUUUCCAGGUCCUUGAGAGAACGUUAUCCAGUCAGUUAUGACUUGACCAUGGUCUGAGGUGAAAUUGGUCCUGGUCCAUAAAACGAAAGUUGUUGGGCAAGCGCAGAGAAGUCGUCUGAAGGGGAGUUCCAUAGGAAUGUUCAACUUCGAUCAACCUUGGUUUGGUCCCAUGCCUAAAAAAGAAAUAAGGUCAAAAACCAAAUAGGGGUGAUAUAACCCACUGCUCGCCUAAGAAUGUACUGACGUAAUCCCUACUAUGGCUUCCCGAAGGAUCCAGCUGCUAAGAGGGUCCGAGCCAUAACGGAUUGAUGUGACCGUAGCGGCGACUGGAAUCGAUCUGAAUGAGGCAGUUAUGGGACUUAUCUUAUAUAACAAUAUAUAUGUAGGAAGGAUUCAAAAAAGGUGGGGGUCAAGGUGUAUAAUACGAGCUCCAGUUUUAGGCAAUGAGCUAGCUUAACCCUGAUUGCUUAAGGUUUAAUACAGUCAUGUUGGAUCUGCUACUAAGAAAGGAAGAGAAAGACUGAUUGCGACAGCUCAACCGGAUGAGACAUCUCUUAUUUACAGAACUGUGCCAACGUGUGCCUACAUUGUUUGAUUUACCAGUUCCGGGUAUUGGAUUUUGGAAUAGAAAGAAUGAAACUAGUACCAGCUUAUCGCCAACCGUGCUUUCUACCAACUCCGCCAACCCCAGACGGGAAUAUUGAUUGCGAUUUAGCCGCACCUGAGCCCGCAACUGCUGCCUCUACUCCGCCUACUUCUUGUGCCGACUUCGCCAACCUCGCGGGGUACCGAUUUCCUCCUGCUUUGUGUGCGUGCCAUCGACUCCUUUAAUGGGUCGAAACCUACUUAGUUCUCAUUUUUAUUUCGUCUAUACAAGAAAAGAAGGAUUUGUGUUUAGCAAGACAGAGAAUUGAAUAAGUAAAAAUAAAGUCUUGUGUACCCUUUCCCGAAAAGCAAAUAUGAAAGAUAGGGUACGACAUAUUGCUUAUUCCUGAUUGAUCUAGUUGACGACAGUUGCCUUGUUGGACCGAUUGUGGAUUGGAAUAGAAGUUUCUUAUAUACAGAUAUUCGUGUUUACUGAUUUCGCAUACUGGGAAUGGAACUUGAUGUAACCCAUUGGAAACUCUCUUUGACACUCAUUAUCUGUUAUAUACGACAGGCUAAUUAAGUCCUUCAAUUUCAGAAAGGAGUCUUUCCUUACUUCCUUACACAAAACUGUUAUGUUGUUAUGCUGCUCGUGCAAUCAAAACUUAGAAUAGAAGAAAAAGAGUUCCCUCAGGACCCAUCCUCUUCUCCUUUGCUUGUGUGACUAUCAUGAGAAGAAUUCCAUUCCAAGAAGUCAAAUAACAAGAAAAAGAAACGAGGUCAAGAUCCGUUGUUACCAGUACCGACGAAACGGAGAAAGUGUCCUCCGGGAACGCAAUCUACUACAUUAGUUGGUGUAGCCAAAGAAGAGGAUAUCCCCUUUUUUGACCCAUUGGUCUUCAGACCAGACCCAUACCAUAGCUACAAACACUUUUGAGUCGGAGGAGACUGGCCAGAUCACCUUCUUGAGGCUCUCUGGGCUUAUCGGAUGUCAAUCUGUAUAGCCACUGGUCCCCUUCUCCUUAGUCAUUGGCAUGGACGCCAUUCUUCCCAGUGAACUCGACGAUUCCUUUUAUGCUGAAACUAGGGCUCCCUCUGGACGGGUAGAGCGAGAGGGAUAGCAAGGACUUGAAAAGGGAAGGUUUUUUACGGCUAAGAUGUUUCAGUUCGCCCCGACAUGAAGCUACCACUUCUCUCCUAUUGUUUCAAGCUGUUAUCUCAUUGCCCCCUUUUAGUAGCACCUUUGACCUCUAUCGCUCAGAGCACAAAUCGUUGUGCUCCUCACUGCUCAAGAGACUUCUUAUUUUCUUCUUACCCUUCGAGAAAUCGGGGCAGCUGAACUCUUUCUCUUUUGGUAGUGGAUUCCCUCUUCAACUACUUGCAAACAAAAAAAAGUGCAAUGUUUCCGUUUUUUUUGGAUCGCAUUCCUCCAGCUUUUGUUCUUUCUGACGAAAAUCACUGUUCUUUACUGGGAUUCCAGUACGCGACUAUUGCUUUCGCUUUCACCACUCGUAAUAAUAGUGAUCUUAUAUUUGUAUUGCAAAAUGGAGAGGGAACUACUCGCUAAUGGUAGUAAAACCGCCCUGCUCUUCUUGGUUAGUAUGGAGAGAAGUUAUCCGAAAGGUUGAAAGAUGCCAACGUGAGCUAGCGUCUCGUUAUGCUUAAUAGCAUUCCAAUCUUUUAAUAAUAAUCACUACUUGUAUCUCUUUUGCUUCGCUUGGUUGAUUAGUUUCACUACUUCAAAUAAAACAAUGAACCUUUUCCUGUGUGGCCAAAGGGACUACGUUCCUAAAGUUCGAAUUGAUCAUUCAAUCGAUCUAGGAAUCAUGCAUGGCACAAGGUAAAGGAUGGAAUGAGACAUCUGAUAAAGAGCCUAGAAUGACCUUUCCCGAUCUUUUGAAGGGUAAGAAUAAGAACUCUGUUGUAUCGAUGCACUGCUCUCAGGCGAGAUUGAACACGAAAAAAGGUGCAUCAAGGCGUGAAUAAGGAAGAAGUCACCUUUGUCGGUUUUCAAAUUGAGGACCAACUGUGCUCCGAAAGUGAGAGAAGAGAUCUCAAAAGACCGACACCCACGUCAAAAGAAACAGACGAAGCAGCUCAAGCAGAGCUAGAAACGGAAGCCGAAGCAGCAUCUUCUUCCUUUUUCCAUACAGAGAAAGGUGCCUUCACUUAGAUUUUUUUCUGUUGAUCGGAAUUCCUUAGAAGAAAUUGGAAGAAAACCGUAGUGAAACGGUUGAACCUUAGCUAAGUAUUUUGGGUUCAUUACAACCUUCUCCUAUUCAGAAUCGGAGAAUAGAACGAAGUAGCUCGCCUAAAGAGGAACUACAAUUCUUCUUUACUUCGAUCAAGAAACUAGAUUCUCAAUAGAGUUGCUUACUACGAAAAGAAAGAUGCCCCACCUUUAGUGAUUAGAUGGAUCACUAGCCCUUACUAUCAGUCACUGAUUCAAGAACGAAUACCGAGACAGAAAAAACCCUUGCUGGUCUACUGCUUGAUGGAUUUACAUCGCUAAAGAAUCCGUAAUGGACAGCAAGAACUCUGAAUCAAGAAAAGUACCAAAUCGAUUGGAAAUGUACGCUCCUGUGGGAGUCGAACCCACCGCAUAGGUGCCUUGUUCUACCGAGAGAUGAACUAAGGAGCGGCAACCCCUACAUCAGUUCUUUGUACCGCCCAGAAGGGCACGAGAGAAAAAACAAAACCAAUAAAAGAUCAGACGAGACGGAAUUGGUAACGUGAACGUCUUUUCGUCUUCUUGCCUUAGUUUCAUAUAACUCAACCUCGCUUUCCAAAAAAUAAGUACUGAUUGAGAUUUCCCUUUUAUGAUGGCUAUCCCGUUUCUAUUACUUACUGAAUUUCUUGUCUACUGGCUGGAAACUUGAAAGGCUUACCACGGGAUCGAAGGCAGAAGAACUUUUAGGAUUGGCUAGAGGGGAACUACUUCCCCAAUCCCAUUUUUUCACGGGAACCCGAUGUUAUUAGAUUCUAUUCAUUCAUUCUGAAUCUUUUAUCAUAUCGCUUAUUACGGCUAUCUUUAGAAUUUCAUUGACUAUAUAUGUUUAUUUCCAUAUGAGCUAUUCCCUUUGCUUUCAAUCUGUCUUGUGCCACUCCAGCUUUCACUCAAGCCAUUCUUUGCCUGUCGACCCUCACUCUUCCUCUUGCUUCCUUAGGAAAGAGCAUAAAGAAGGCACCGAAAACAGGUGGGAAAGGAAAGGUAUACUUUUCACAGCCGACAAGCGGCGCAUUUAAGCCCUAAAGAACUAGCUUCCUGGAAAAAACUCACUCGAUCACCGGCUUUCAGGGGAUUCCCCCACUUAAGAAUAAAGGGGCAUAGACUACGAACGGGCUACGUUCACUUGAUGAACGGUAAAAGGUAUUCUAUUACAUAACGAGAGCAUACGAGCGGAAUACGAUACUAUCGAGCUUUCCGAAAGUGUGAGCUGAAAUUCCAGGGUAAUCGCACCCUUGACUCUAUCACAAGCUAUUGGAAUUGGCUGGAACUUUCUAUACCAAAAAGGGAUAUAUAUAUAGGGGUUUGUUUUAUUGAUGCAAUAGAGAUCUUUCAUAGAUGGAUCCCGAUAUGAUCUUAUUGAUACGAGAAUUAGAAUCAAAUAAAAGUGUUUUUUGAUGCAUGCACUCUUUUCUUUAGGUUAAUCAGCCCUUACUUGCAUUGAUUUAAAGGUCCUAUUUCCCAUUCCUUGCGGACUAGGUAAUCUAACAACCCUUCAGGGGAGAGGAUUAUAGGACACCAUAGCUUAUCUGCCUUGAUUUCCGAAACCAGAACUACCUCGGCCUUCCCUCAACUGAUUGACCUAGCCGACCUAUAACUUAUGCUGUGUAUAGAUUGACAAAUUGCUGGGUCUACCCUGAGGGCGCCCUGUAACUUAUGAUGGGUGCCAGGGAAGAAAAGAAAGGGAAAGCGGUCUUCUUCAAGCCGAAGGGGAGCCCGGAUAAUUGAAUGAAGGUUGGGACAGAACUCCAAAAUAACAGAUCCUUUCCUACUAGUUUGUUGUUCCGGUUGGGAAAGCAAGAAAUGGGAUAAUCAUUUCCAGUCAAUUUCUCCUAGUUUUCCUUCUGGAAUUCCAGUCAGAAAAUCAAUGAAAUAGGAUUUGGAUCAGAAAAUCAGGAGAAGAAAAGCAACCGAACCAUAGAUCCUGCUUUGGCCAACCCUCAAUUACCAAGUUCUUACUAUCUAACCUAGCUUUUUUCCAUCUAUCUAACCUUUGUCUAUGAAACCUCGAAUGCCUCUAUACAGUGAUGAAAAUAGGGUUGUACCUGUAAUAACAUCUCUUGAUACUAGUAUUCUAGCUUAUGGUUCAUGUGGGAUUCCUUGCUACUUCCUAUAGCUCUUCUUUUGUAGAUACAUUAGCAACUUUGGCCUCUAUGAUUUUGAUUACCGAGGGACUCUGAUACCAGUCUUGGUGCAAUCGUCAGGGUCACCCGCCUACAGUUUUCGCCAUAGAAACUUUACAAGAUGAGGAUGGUUAUGAUCCUAAAAGGUAUGAUGACAUAUAGAAAUUCCUAAAUAGGUAAAGUCACCACCAUAAGCUGAGGUGAAAGAUCGAGUUGUACUUUUCAAAACUCUGCCCUGUUUAUUAUCUGUGGUGAUAAGUUUUACAUAAGAUCAUUUAACGGGAUGCACCUUAUCAGGAUGCAGAUCUAGAUCACAAGUAAGCAGUGAUGCGCGAGACGGCUCUAUCUCUUUUCACAAGUACAGAUGGCCAUCAAAUAUUAGCAAAGAUAUACCAAAAAUAGGUUCACGUAAGAAAGUGCCUAUUAGUUUGCGUAGGAAUGCCCGUUUUAGUUUACGGAAGAGUGCACGUAGAAUAACAAAAGGGGUUAUUCAUGUGAAAGCCAGUUUCAACAAUACCGAAAUCAUAACAUUAACAUUUCUAUAUUCGAAUUUGAGAUAUAUAUACCGGACCUGAGUAGUAAGUGUUGACUCAUGCGAGUCACUCCUUCUUCGCUUUGACUUCUUGGCUGGCUUGAUGCUCAGUCUGGCCAAUGGGAUGACCCCCUUUUCUCUACUUUGUUUAGCUUUGCGAAUGAGAAAGGUUCUUUUAGGCGACUUCGAACCCCAUAUUCAUACCACUUUCCCACCUAUGUAUUAUUUUUAAAAAGAAAACCGUAGGAAUCUCUCCGAGGGUAGUAGGUCGGGGGAGCACCUUCCCUUUGCCUUAUGGGACCCUCGAUCAUACUCUUUUCUGAUAGCCAGAAAGGAAUGACCUAACUUACCACUGAGUAGGCGCCCUUUUUCUUUUCCUUCUAAACUAGCUGCUCUCGCUCUGCCAGUUCGUACUGAACUUUCAGUUUCAUUUAUUUCAUUUAUAGGUGGGCUUGAUUUUUCAAUUUGCAUUAUCCGUUGGAUCCAAAUCCAUAUCAUAAUCAAGUAGAUAAUGCGAUGACUGCCUAUCUCUUUCGAGAAGGAGUCCUUUUUCCGAUACUUACUAUUGGGGUAGGAUAAAAUAGCUGGAAUCUUUCCAUUCGUAUAUGUUAUGAGCUCCUGCUUAAGGUUCUGGGCUACGAAUUCCUUCCUUGGUCCCUUCCUUCGCUAGAAAAAUUCCUAAACCUACCAUCGAGAAAGCUGGAAAUCCUACCGGUGAUGCGGUAACAUUUUGAAAUGAACCAUUUCGAUGAUACAUCAUUUCAGGAAUUUCCUUUCACAAACGCUCUAUUAAUAAAGUAUUCCGUUCCCAUUGCUAAGGGGCUUUGAACACCUCGGGUGCGCGGUUACUCUCGGAUGGUUCACGGCAAUUCCAGGUAGUUUCUACUAAUAGCUCAUUUUCCUGUAUCGAUAAGAGAAAUGGCAUCAUGUCUUCUUCCGUAGCCUGAACUAUCCAACCGGACUCCGGCUAUGCGGAUUGCUUUCUUCAUUUCAGUUGGGUAAUUCAAACGUCCACCUUCCAUACAACUUGAGUUGGCUUUGAUCGAUUGCUUGGUGUCAUGCUAUUUACUACUACGGUUAGCGAAAUUCGUUUAUGACACCGAUUCAUUUCUAGUUGAUCCAUUUUGUAAGGUCGUUCAGAAGCAAAGGCCUACUACUCUACUAGUAAAGUAAGUUGGUCAAGUCAAAAGAAGGUUCUGACUAUCUAGUAAAUGAGUGCACGAAGAAAGGGAAUGGCAUGUUCACAAACUGGUACUUUUCUCCCGGUAGGUAUGUUUUACAAUAGGCAUGUGCCAUGAAGCAAGAAAAGGAAACAUGUAGAUAAUGUUCUAACGUGCCGCUAUUUACGACGAGUGGAUCAUCCCUAUACUUAACUCACCCCUGUGCUAUAAAAGAGAGUAGGUGGAAACAUUAACGUAUCUUUUCGCUCCCUUCCUUUCCUUGACGUAUAUGAGCGUAGCGAUAGCGGUAUCUUUUGAUAGAAGCCCACAUGCCCACUCUUCUAUGCCACCUAUCCACAUACGGUAUCGGUGGCCUCGUUAUCACUUUAUGAACACUACACUACAAAGUCAAUGUUUUCUCAUCUUCCAUAUGAUAGGUGUGAUUAUGGAAAUUGAUAGAUUGUUUCUUAUUGUUUUCUUUAUUGGAAAUACUUCAAACAAUAACAUUUGUGGUGUAUACAGUAGUCAACCGAGCUGAUAUCUUUAUUAAACACCGCGAUAAUGUAAUCUAUUUCAUUAUUAGGUCCAUCAUCUUCGAGUUUAUUGCCUACUAAUUUAGCAUAGUUCUAAUAACAUUUAUUGAGGAGAUUGAUCUUUCUAUGGAACAUGGGCAGCAUAUCAUUCCUAGAUUCUGGAUCUUUGAUACAAUAUUCCACACAUGUUUUGACCAAAGUAGGGUUCAUUAAUAAUGAAGUUUAGGGGGUCAUAUUUUCCAUAUCCAUACGAUCGAGUCCUUAGGUUUCCGAAAUAGUGUAAUGGAAAAAGAAGUGCUUCUAAUCAUUGCUAUUUGACUCGAACCUGUUCUGAAAAAGUCGAGGUAUUUCGAAUUGUUUGUUGACACGGACAAAGUAAGGGAAAACCUCUGAAAGAAUUUCCAUAUUGACCUUGGACAUAUAAGAGUUCCGAAUCGAAUCUCUUUAGAAAGAAGAUCUUUUGUCUCAUGGUAGUCUGCUCUAGUCCCUUUACGAAACUUUCGUUAUUGGGUCCUUCUCCUGUUGCUUGAUUCACAUGGCAUCAUCAAAUGAUACAAGUCUUGGAUAAGAAUCUACAACGCACUAGAACGCCCUUGUUGAUGAUUCUUUACUGCGACUGCAUCCAGCUCGAAUAAUGCGAUAUCUCACACCGAGUUCAAAGAUACUUAACCCUUCCUCCUCUUACUAAUACUACAGAAUGUUCUUGUAUGCCCAAUACCUGGUAUAAGCAGUGAUUUCAAAUCCAGAAGUGAAUCGUACUAAUUUCCUUUACGUAAGGCAGAGUUGGGUUUUUGGGGUUGAUAGUGGAAAAGUCGACAGAGAAGGAUCAACAUAUCCUUGUUUAAAUAGGUCCACUAGACCUUAGCUACUUAAUUUCAUGGUAUUUAGCACGGACGAUAGAAGAUUGGAAUGAUGGUAUCAAUGUGCCGCAUUGAAAUGAGAGUGGCUAUAUCGCUAUCAAUCAAGGUGGGACAGAUCAGCCAUCUCCACAGAUUGCUAGUUUGCUGAAAACAAUCCAGCUUUUGCCAAAAGAAAGCCAAACUCUCAUCCAGAUGCAUCUCGAUUCACAUUUCUAUAUGAUAAUAUGCACGACCGAUUCUCGUAUCUGCUGAUACAAGAGAUUCUUUCAAAAGAUAAGCCUAACCCCUGUGUGGGCGAAAGAUGGAGACAAUACUACCGUUGAAGCGCAAGAGUGAGCAGCAGUCCGGUCAGCCCUUGCUUUCUCAACUUGAGCAGGAAACUUCCAACCAAAUAGGAGGGAAGGGCACUCUCAAAUAGGAAUGCUAACAUAAAACGCGUGCUCUUGAGUGUCAAUUCCUCUUCUGACCGAAGUGAAUAACAAACAUCCCUUCCAUCUGGACACUGAAUAAUGAGAGAAUCGUAGAAGUUAUCGGAAUCCGGGGCUAGAGUCUUUGGCUGAACAUCCACAGAUGAUCGAUUCCCUGCGCUAGCAAGUAUUGGAUUGGAGUGGGGGUUAGUUGGCUCACCAUAUGGUAUAGAUCGAUAGAUAUAUUUGAUACGUCCUAUAACAUGGAGAUGGAGAUAGCCAAGCCCCUUUCUCGAAAGGCAAACCCUCUUUAUCAUCCAACAUAGGAUCUCCCUAUGGAAUACCACCAUUGUCUUUCUCCAUCUCACUCAAUAGUAUAUAUCGGUAUAAAUAGCUCAGCUCAUGAAAUAGAGCGAGCAAGAGCUCGAACUUGGUAGGAAAGUUCGGAUAAGUCGACUCGACUCCUUAGUGCAGCGUACACUUGCUUCAGCAAAACGAGGCUCAUCCAUUUGUUUUGAUCCGAAUCACACUCUAGACCAGCUCUUCUUAUAGAGAAGGAACUCCACUUUGACAGUCAUACGAGAGGGAAGAGACUCAAAGUUGAUGAGAAUAGUCUAUUUGACCGGUAUCACGAAUAGCAGUUUUAGUAGAAAAGGGCGUUGAUGAUUGAAAGGAUUUCUCCUUGAACCACUAGUAACUAUGUCAGCUUUUGUCAUUCUGAUGAUACUGAAUCGGAUCAAUAUUUGGAAUAACAAUAUCAGAUCUAUCAAAUCGAUUCAUCAUCGAGAAUGGAAUAGUAUAACAUAGGAAUUUGAUCCAAACAAACUCCGAAUUGGGAUUUCUUAUUGGAUCAGGAAUCCCAUUGCAUUUUGCAUCCUUUUCCAUUUUGCUUCUUUCAGGCAGUUUUGGCUCGCAAUAAAGCUAGGGUCCUGAUCGAGCAAGACUACGUCCUAUCUAUCUACCUCUCCAAACACAAUAUCUUGAGUACCUAUGAUGGUGACUACAUCUGCUGGCAUGUGAUGUUUGGACAUAGAAUCGAGUCCUUGUGAAUGGGCAAAGCCAGGUGCUCUUAUUUUACAACGGUAGGGACGAUUACUCCCAUUACUGACAAGAAAGACACCAAAUUCACCUUUAGGUGCUUCAACUGCGGUAUAGGUAGAAGGAGCUGGUACGGAAAAACCUUCUGUAUAAAGUUCAAAAUGGUGAAUUGAGGUAGAGUAGACCGAUGAUCCGGUAGUCAUUUGGCCGGCUAUGGAAAGAAAAAGCUUGCAUCUGCUCCCCCUAAACUAUAACGGGUCCCAUCUCUCUCCAAACCUAACGUGGUAGUUUCCCAUCAUAAGGCUUUCCAUCUAUAGAUUGAGCCAUUACCCACCAAGGAUCCCAUUCAUUCAAAACUCAGUCGACUGCUUCUAUAGAUAAGGCGGAACGUCCUUAGUUCAACAUUAUAGCACAUAGUCUCCGACGCUACUACAGCGCUUCGCUAACUCGAAGCGCCUCGCUAUGAGAAUGACGCGUCGCUAACGCUCAGCUAAGUCGUCGAACCCUCGCGCUGACCAUUCGCUUUCUCAGUAGCGAAAGCGCUUCUCUUUGCCCCUUAACUUCAUAAAGUAUUUGGAAAGAAAAGAAAGAGAUUCUUGGUUUUAUUGCUCCCGCUUCCUCAUCUGCGCUCGUCAAGCCAACUUUGCUUUUUGGGAGGCGAAAUAGGGGUUGAAGCGGACAUGUCGAAAUGACAGCAUCGAAGAUAUCUAUAUACACAGGAACGCUUAUUCCGGACUGCGUUCCGGAAAAAGUAGCCUACUUGACAGAAAGGGCGGGCACUCUCGGCGCGGAGGUAGGCACUCUCGUAUUUCAACCCCACCGUCACUUUGAAUUUAGUGGGGCACUGUUUACUUACAGCCUCUACGAGUUGCAAGUGAAUGGGGCCGGUGCGUGGUGAACGGAAGGGUUCAUCAAGCCAUUUCUCGCCUUAACCCCUAAACUAAAUAGGAAGAGGGGUACUUGACUAAUAGGGGGCAAUUGCAUUGCACCUGACUGUGAGGGACCUCUUGAUACCUUAUGUUCACUUCCUAACUAGUAGCUGGUUUCCUGUCGUGGAAGCCUUUUCCCAGUGCGUGGAGCCCCGAUGAGGAAGGUGUUAGUGCUUUCUCAUGGGGUCAAUAAUGCUAAUCCCUCUUUUUGUGCCGGGAAGAAGAUAAGAAAAGGCGAAGCCUUCUCUUGGUUUCCCAACUUGUUGCUUCUAAAGGCUGCCCUCUCUCGGCUGGAUUUUGGUCCAGCCUACUGCGAGGAUCCCGUAUCCCGUACAUCGUCUUUCUCCCUCCUGGGUUCCCGUGGUUCCUAUGCCGCCGCGUUUCCCGGUCCUUUUCUUUUAGUGCUUCGACCCGAAGCGAUAGCUUGACGCGUUUUCCGUGGAUAAGAUGGCAGCGCUCCAGCUCACUAAAGAAUGGGACGGCAGUGGUCCGCCGGCAAGCUCGUUCUGAUCCUGGACGCAGUACAUUGUAAUCCUGAAGCACCACCACGAACGCUACCGCGCGUGCGCCUGCGAUGCGGUAAGGCACCACCCUGUUGUGCCAGCAGCCAACUCCGGCGUGUCAGCUUAGUUAUCCUCAUCAAGCCACAACCUUGAUGUCUAGCUUCCCAACUGGUAGACGGUUCCCUUUCCCCCGGAUCAAUGAAGAAGGGAGAAGUCAGUUGAUUCCUCCAAAGAACCGGAAGCGAAGCGCUAUGCCGGGGCGAGGGGACGGGAAAAGAAACUGCUCCGAAGAAAGAUAUUGGGGUUCCCAAUGCUUCUCCACGCCCAACGAGAUGCGCCAACCUCGGGAUGCUUUACUCCUAACCCCACGGCGGUUCCGAGAUGGAGCUUAACCUGAGUCUCGGUUAAUAAUGGCGAUGAUCUACGUUUCACACGGCGCACAAUUCCAUGGAUAGUUUCAUUCGAGAUCGUGAUGGAGGACAUAGCUUACGAUCAUCGGCUUUGAUCAUGCCACUAGGCAUUUGAUUAGGACAUUGCACAAUGAUCCGAACACUUUGUCGCAUCUCUUCAAUACGGAUACAGUAACGAUCAUAGCGAUCUCCUCUGGUACCUACUGGUACGUCAAGAUCCGAUUGGUCAUGAACAUCGUAAGGUGCUGCUCUUCGCGAAUCCCAGCAUACCCCAGGUUGGGAUGGGUAGGCCCACCACUUCACUUUUCCACUUUCACUUAGGCCCGGGCCAAGUCAGUGGGGGGACCCUGUCGGGCUCCUUCCCCCCCCCCCCCAAAACAAACUAUACGUGGGAGUUUCCCUUCAUACGGCUCGAAUCAUUCUCAGAUGCCCCGAGAGGCAUCUUUCCUUAUGAUCUAGUGGUUCACACGCGCGCAAACGAGCACCGGCCGCAACAGCAAGGAACUAUGACCAAUAGAGUCAGACACAGAGCGUCAUACUUCUUUAUCUUGUGAUGGUUGAGGAGUUUCUUUCUCAGAGGGUGCGGGACGCUUGCGGAGUCCGUGCCUUCCGUACCACCACAGGUCGUUCUUGGGCAGAUCCCGCUCCUAAACAUAAGGGAGGGAUAGGGGGAAAGGGGCCCUAAAAAUCAUAUAAAUAGGGUUGUAGAAAGACCACUUUCAUUCGACGUUCCGGGGUGCCCGAUUCGAUCGACGAAUUUGGCGAGCUGAUCCGCUUUGAUCCAGGAGAAAGCCCAGUCAGCCACCUUUUCGGUGCAGGUCACGUGACCUACAGCUCGGCCUUCGCUUUUUGAGACUUCCUCUACCCACAUCUCUAUGUGCCCGCAGCACUUUCAUAUGGAGAAAGAUGGGCUUACCAUGUUCCAUCAAUAGCACCUAACCUAUGCCGAUUUUGGCGGACCGUGCUCCACCCCGGUGAACUCAUGCGGUUCCGACGUGCCCAGAGGCCAGAGGCGAAUCCGUUCACGGUCCGUAGGACCAACACCAUUCGAAGGUUGAUGGCCCGCCCCGCCUAGAAUAGGAAUCUUUGACUGGGCUUACACACAUUCGCUCACUUACGCUGUCCCCCCUCAGCUCACCCUAGCCCCGGGUACGUCGUCUCCAAGGCUUCACACAAAAUCUUCACUGACAACAUAUGCAUGCUUUUGUAGGGUCAGGCAGAACCGUUGUUGCCUGAUGGGAACUUCCUUCAUAUUGCUAUCAAUGUCUUCAUGUCGCACGACCUCUUAACAUUACACCACUGAAUCCCCAAUCCUUUGCUUGUUGUGCAGUGACAGUACCAAUAUCCACUAAUCGUUGUUUCCAGAUACGGUUGCCGGUUGACAUCUCUUCUAAUUCGUCGAUACGAGAAGCAAAUUGUUGUGUGGAGGAAUCAAUAUCUCGACAUAAGCCAAGAGGCAGAUCUUGUGCCACUCCACCAGGUCGUAUGAAACUGGCAUGCAUCCUGGCUCCCGGGACUCUUUCAUAGAAUUCCAACAAUUUCUCCCGCUCCUCAAAAGCCCAAAGGAACGGAGUUGAUGCUCCCACAUCCAUAGCAUGAGUAGUUGAAGCAAGUGAAUGAUUUGAAAUUCGAGUUAUUUCACAGAAUAACACUCUUAUAUAUUGAGCUCGUAAUGGUACCUCACAAUUCAAAAGUCUCUCCACGGCUGAAGAAUGAGCGUGUUCUUGGGCCAUCGUAGAAACAUAGAUAGGGUCAACGACGGAACGAACAACGAAACUUUACGACAGCUUUUUCGUACACGUUCACUUGCAUCACAUACACAAGUGCUCUCUGAACCGUGCAAUAAGGUCACCCAUAACACGUCUCUCCCACUGGAGUUACCUUAGCCCCGGGCCAUGCUAUUCCAUGAUAUUGGAAAAAGUUGACUAAUUAUUAUCAUCGUCUUGAAAGCUGGGCGCCUUUUGAAUAUGAGUGGGGCUCCUAGUCUAGGCGGCGCCUUCGUGGAGCCAAACCGAAGGAAGAGCAAAAGGGCGAGGCCACACCCGGCUUCGAAUAGGAGGGGGGCUUAGCUCUGGAUCCCGCCUGCUUGCAGAAAUGAAUGGAUCAGAAAGGGGGCUGGGUUCUAUUUCCGGGCCGGGCAGGAGGUGAAGGCCAGAAGAAGAAGAGAAGUGCGCCUUCCCGGUAAGGAAGAGGAUAAAAAGGUGCUGUCAUCUAUCUCGACCUGUUUCCCGAGGCGUUGGAAAUGAAGACCGGCUCAGAGAAUCACUGGCGUGCUUUCUCUCCCCCAUCGUUUCGCCAACAAAGAAGUCAUCCUUGACUUGACUAUUGACCAUUCCAUCCCUACCGAGCCGCCUCUUCGAAGUAUUUACCUCUGCCUUUCCUUUUUGAGAACAUACCCUUCAAAUCAAAAAGAAAAAAAGAAAGAAAAGUUCCUCGUCUGUGAUUUAAUCAGCCCUAAGGGAGUUUACUCGACCCAUUCCCCAGUCUCCCGCACUGCUCAAGUGUGCGACUCCGUAUGAGGACCUCCUUCCCUUUUGCUCUGCCCACUCUCCGUUCACACGGUUAUCAAAGCGGAGGAAGGGCGGGCAGCAGGUACCACGAGCCCUCUGUCCCACACAUCUAUCAAGAAGCAAGUGUAGUUCACCGGUUCCACCGAAUGCUCCUAUCUCUCGGCAAAGAUCGCGUGAGUGUGCAGUUAUGCUUCGGAUGCUUCACCAUGGAAUAGAUCGAUUCAGUUCCCCUUCUUUUCCGGUGCACUCGCUUUGUAUCUCCGACACACAAGGAAGGACGCGGUGGGAAGAAAGCUGCCCUAGCCUCUGUCCGGUCGAUCAUUCCGCUGGCAUCUUGCAUUCACGCCUCCGUUUGACUGCCGCUCGGGAAUGUAGUUGUAGAUACGUGAGUCUUAGUGGGUCGUUGGCUCCACCUCUUAUCUCCUUCUACGACAUGCUGUAGUCGUCGCCAUAUUCAAUAUGUCACUUAGUCAUAUCUGCCUCGCAGCGGGUCAGCACCUCCGAAAGAAAGGGAGGGAGGACUUCAUUCAGUGACUCCGCGAUCGCCCUCUAAACGAUCAAAAUAAGGUAAAGCUUGAAGAUAAGUUUUGUACUCGAUUAAUUUCUCAGUCCCUCUAGUCGGGUGGGCGCCGGCCGGCCGGAUCCCCCUGAAAACCGUACGUGCGGGUCUCCCCGCAUGCGGCUCACGCCAUUUGAGGUGGCCCAGCCCAGCAUUCAUUCGCAAAUCCUGUAGUGAAAUUGAGACUGCUCGACCUCGGAAGCUAAUUCGCGUGUAGGCAGCGCUGUCUUAAUACCGUUGACUGUAUCUAUUCAUUGAUACAUUGGCUCGCCCCCCCCCCCUCUUUUUUCAAGAAUGAAUGAGCCGCUCGGACCUUCCAUUUCCGUCAAAUGACCCGGCUUCCCCUGGCUCUUCCACCGUCCGGGCUCCCUUUCCUCCCUAUGCUCCCCCGGCGCAGGCCCACCACGCUUCGCGCCUGCGGCGUUUUCGCCAGACGGUCUUUGCCAGUAGUGCCAUCCUCCCCGCAGGCUGUCUGUAUGGGUGGGUUGUCCCUUGCUGCUAUGUUCUGUUAGGCGCUAUGAAUUACAGGAAAUUCAGUGGUUGACUUGGACAGCAGGCGGGUUACACGUUCCACUCUGCCGAGAUGUGAGGUGCAGGUGGUGAUGAUCACCCCGGGGUAUGCGCUAGCGCCCUUGACGGGCACUCCAGGACCCGCCUACGCUCGUGAAAACCCAGGUCGGUCCUCCGACCAGAUGUGUGGAUAACGAGGCCACCUUCACAACCUUCUCCCUUCUAUCUUUAUCCAAAGUCAGGUAGGGCGGUUCGCUUGAGUUGCUCAACCGUCCCUUUGCCCGGUGCUCAUGACGCGCUACAGAACCUCCACCGUGCUAGCGGCAUAGGAGCCUACUCAGCGUCAGCGGCUUUGUGCCGCACUGGAGUGAUCCAAUAUGUGGUUCCGCACGUUCCACCACUUCUCCGUUCAUUUCCAAUACUGAUCGUCAAACACUAUGAGCAACAGGAUGUUGAGGUCCGGAAUUCGAAGUGAAAUUCUUGAUUUGCCCGUUCCUAGUCGUCAUGGGAAAGAAAUAAGAAAGAAAUAAGAAAGAGAUUAUUCCCCUAGAGCUUGUCCAGUACCACCAGUACUCAAAAUGCAUCUCCGCGCGUCUACCUGGCGCUUUUAUUAGCCGCCUUGCAUGCAAGCGAAGCGCUAUUGGCGGCAAUUAAUAGCUCACUGAGCGAUGAUUGAUGCAGUCAGUCAGUGCCCUCGAUUAUUCUAUUCCUGAUAGAAGGAUCAUGGCGCCCCGGAAGCAUUCCAUCCAGCAGCAGCAUCUCCUUCAACCACGCGAGGACAAAACUGAUGUUAGCUACAUUCGAGCGUUCACCGCACAGAGGCGAUCUCGAACACUACCUAUGAUAAUAAAUCCAAAGGAAAGGUCGACAAAAUGAUUCAAUUUGACUUUAUCGGUAUUCUGGAUUGAGUAAAAAAGGGAUAUAUGAAGUUCAAGGCCUUGCCAAAACCAUCAUGGCCCUAUUAUGUAUAGGUCGUACUAAGCCAAUAGCGAAUAACAAACUCUUUCCUGCUCCCUCGACAUCCUGCCAAGCCUCAGCUGCCAGCCCAUUGUAUCUAAGCACACUGCGGCAAAUUGAUACAAGUAGCUAAAGAUCUCGCAUCCGACAUCUCCGGCCGAACGGUUAGGCAACACUAGGGCGCCUGGGUCAAAAUUCCGCUUACCAAACAAGAUGUCGAGAGGCGAACUCUGUAAUUCCCCUCCUGCAAAAGUGAUAGCUGCUGUAGCAUCCGUGUGGAAGAGGGUAAGCUUUCGGCAACACCUUUUGCAGAUUGGAAAGGAUGAAUACUUGUGUUGGGUCCUGCAGACCAGGAUAGCCUCAGAUCAAAACCUAAUAAAUGUACCUGGGGUUGAUCAUAUUUUUUGGGCAAUAAGUAUUCAGGAAUUUGAGCGCUUAUGUAGCUAAAUACUCUGCCACCUGAAUACUUGAUUCAUUAAGGUCGUCACCCUAUACCCGGAAGUCUCUAUCGUUUUCUUUGUCUGUUAAGCUUCACAGGGUUGGGACUCCCUAAAUCAAACUGCAAUCGUUGUUUAUCAACCACUCACGACGACACCGAGAUCUUCGACUUAGCUCCCACAGGUCAUCCACCCGGGCCGGAAGAUAACGAAAGGGAGACAAAGUCCUAACUAAAUCAACACACAAUAACCUCAACCUUCUACCCAUUCCAUACAUCAUAUCAGUCGAGGAGAUUCGUUCUUAUCUAUAGAUAAGGCAAGAGAGAACUUAUGACCUCGCGGAUGGAGAGGGAUUCGAACCCCCGGUAUUCCUAUCAAUACUUCGGUUUUCAAGACCGACUCUUUCAACCGCUCAGACAUCCAUCCCUGCGCUCGCCCGCCCUAUCUAUCUGCGUGCUGGCAGGUAGGGGCAACUCUAUGUGAUUCUCUACGCUUGCUUGCGCCCCACCCCGUAAGCUGACUCUAUUGCCUAGCGGUUAGCGACACUUUUCCGGUAGUACGAAUCGCUACGCUUCGCUUCUUUCUAUAUGAUAAUAUGCACCGUCGGAUCACUAAGGCCGACUUUCGUCUCUGCUCGACGGGUGAGUCUUGCAGUCAAGCUCCCUUCUGCCUUUGCACUUGAGGACCAAUGUCCGUCUGGCCCAACGAAACCUUUGCACGCCUCCGUUACCUUUUGGGAGGCCUACGCCCCAUAGAAACUGUCUACCUGAGACUGUCCCUUGGCCCGCGGGUCUGACACAAGGUUAGAAUCCGAGCUCUUCCAGAGUGGUAUCUCACUGAUGGCUUGGCCCCCCCGAAAGGGGGCCUUCUUCGCCUUCCACCUAAGCUGUGCAGGAAAGGCCCAAAGCCAAUCCCAGGGAACAGUAAAGCUUCAUAGGGUCUUUCUGUCCAGGUGCAGGUAGUCCGCAUCUUCACAGACAUGUCUAUUUCACCGAGCCUCUCUCCGAGACAGUGCCCAGAUCGUUACGCCUUUCGUGCGGGUCGGAACUUACCCGACAAGGAAAAUCAAAGAAGAAGAAAGCCCUGGUAUUCUCUACUUGAAUUCAGGAAGAUUCAUAUACCGAAAUCAAGAACCAUGGAAAGCAGAUACCUGAUUCUAUAUAUAUAUAUAAAAGGGAUAUAAGUGCUGGAUCUGAACUAUUGAAAUUAGUGAAUUGGCGGAAAAGCAGGAAUGAAGGUUGGGACAGAAAGGGGAGAGGAGAGCCCGGACGAGGAAAACAAGCACCCCUUUUAGGAUUCUAGGAAACAAGCAAUACUUUCCCAUCUUGAACUGAACUGAACAGAGCACAGAGACUAGAAUCAGAACUGGAAUUCCCUUCUCUGAAUUCAAAAGCCCACCCGGACUUGGUUUGAGAAGUAGCUUGUUCAAUUUGUCCUCAGCAGAAGCGAAACCUGUUGCCAAGAGAUCGAAAUUCCAAUCAGAAAAUAAGUACUUUGAAUCAAGAAAUGACAUUGCGUAGAAGUGAAGUGAACUAGAGAAUUCCAGUCAGAAAAGCAAUCGGAUACUGAAAUCUCUUCUCUGAAAGCUAAAGCUUUACAGAUUAUAGGAAAGCAAGCACCACGAAGGGCACUACCCAAACUAUAGGUUAUCUUGUGUCUGGGCAAGCAAGGUCAAGUAGUGGCAUCCUAUUACCCUAAAUGGAAAGCAAAGUAGGUUAUUCAGCCAUCCCUCGCGAACAAUCAAAAGUCCCAGUUUCCUUAACUAAUCUCGCCAAUUUAUCACUUGACCGACCCAGAGACUAAUCUAUCGUUGGCCUAGGCAAAGAGUGAGAAAAGGCAGCAAAAGGAGUAGCUUGCAGUGAGGAAUGAAAGCUGGUGUUUUACCACCAUUCAGCAAGAGAAACCCACUGGAACCUUUUCAUAGGACCACAGAAAACAUGCUGCUUCCUGUAUAGAGAUGACUGCUUCUUUAAUGAAGUUGAUCGUCUAUCUCAAGUGGUGGUGAUCGACUCCACGAAUAGCCUGAACCUGAGAAAUGUAGAUCUGCAAACGGGAACUUCCUGUUGUCUCAAAUCAGGUCUGCUAUUUCUAUUCAUAACUCUCUGGCUGGAAUCGACCAAAAUAGCCCUUGACGGCAAUAAGAGGAUCCUAACCACUACACGGUUUGAAAUAUCAAUCGAAUGAUACCUCAAUUGAACCUGCUGAGUCAGUUAUUGGAAAGAUAUCACUAUCAGCCUCACAGCAAUCUUUAGGAAAAUGCAGACACAGUAGUUUUUUCGAAACUUGUUCAGACACCGCAAGCAACUACCAGUAGAUCUACUAAAGAAAUGACCUUCGUUGCCGAAGUGAUAGACAAACAAUUCUAUAGCGGACUUGGACUAGCGACACAUUUCUCCAUAUAUGAAAUUCAAUUCACCCGACAUCAAAGAGAAGCUCAAGCUCGGGAUCAAAGAUCAGCUACAGAUGGGGCUGGCAUUCAUCAUAGUCGGCAGCUUACUUUUGACUGAAACAUUUACUUUGCACUACAUCCGUAAGAAUCUGAUGGAAAAUGACUGCAACGCAAUCAAUUUCUCCCUUCCUCGUGCGCGCGUAUCGUAUAUAGUUCAAUGAGAAACAAUGCUUUCUGAUAUUCACGAAUUGGAUUCGAACCAAUGUCCCCCGACUCCUCUACCGAAUAAGGAUCGUGAUUCACAUUUCCUCGUUCUCUUUCUAGCUGCCCAUAUGGGUGGCUGCUAUCAUCCCCUUUUGAUAGCUUCUUAUCCGCAUCCGCGAGCAUAAGCGGCAUAUCCUGAACACUCAUAGCGAUUACCUCAACCCUUGUCUUUCCUUUGGCUCCGCUCGGUGGGGGGAACCCAAUGUACCAAUUCUUUCACUCGACCCUGCUCCUUCUUCUUUCUCAUUUGCCUCUUUCCCUCUCUCCUGCUCCCCCCCGACUAUCACUCUAUGGAAAAGCUAAAGCUUUCCUGGCGCUUGGUGAAUAAUCUUUCUAUAGGGACAAAUAAAAGCCCAGUUUUGACCUUGCUGCAUAUAACAUCUAGCAUUUCAUGUGUCUGAAUGUAACAGCCAAUAAUCUGGUUUGCAAACCUAUCUUUGCCCUCCUCGACUGCGGGAGCCCUCCAUCGUUGCAGUACAAUAGACGUUAAUUUCAAGCAUAGCUUACUGGACAUACGGUCAAGAACUUCUUGCAGCCUUCGAAAGAAGACUUUAGACAUGACGCCAACACCUACGAUAGGAAUGCCGAAUAGUAUAUCGUCUGCGUAGCGAGCGAAAUAGACGUACUUGGUAGAAUCCCCAUUCUCCUCUUGGCCAUAGCGUCGAAUUGCAAGUCGAGUUGAUGCAGGAAUGAUUGAAUCAAAACAGGCGAGAUCGGUGAUCCUUGUGGAAGGCCGACUUCACUAUUUGAGUAGUCAUUCCCUUUCUUAGAAAGUAUCGGUGUCUUGGGAAAGCAAUUGAUGAGGUCAAUGAGAGGAGCGUUAUCUGUACCUAAGAGCUUAGACAAAUGUUCAAGUAGUAACCGAUGGUCUAUGCUAUCGAAACACUUGACCACGUCCACCUGAACCAUAUAAUCCAUAGACGGCCAUUGAGUUAAUGCACGGAAGAAGGGCCGAGAACCUUGCGGAAGCCCUGCGCAGAUGGGGACAUUCGUGGAUCUAAUGAGUCAUUGAGUAGCUCUGCCAACGCGGUUACUAUAAGUCGAUCGGCUGCCGCCGGUUGAGUGAUAGGCCAACCUAAAUGCUCCCGGCCUUUUCUUUGGUCUAAAGGACCUAAACUACUCACUUGCCAAACUGCCUAUUCAUAUGCCCUUUCCUAAACCACUUUGCUAGUUCUAUACACCUGCCAGGAUGCUUCUAUUGCUUGUUACGUAUUUGAUACUGCUCACUAUAAUGGAAUAGCUUUGUACUCAGUACAUGAUUGCUUUAUAGCACCUGUAGCUUAUGCAAACAAAUUCCCUCAGAGUGGCAGCUUUUCAAUGUCUAGCUAAUCCACUGCAUCUUAUAAAUUGUAUAGUUAUUCAGAACCUCUUCCUUCGAGCUCCUAUGGAAGACCUUGGCCGCACGCGCCUUAGGCGAUUUCUAUUUUCUUUAGUUUAGAAUUAGUCUUUAAUUUAGGCCGCAGGUUUCUACAAAUUAGGUUAGGCCAAGAUAUUUGAACUUGUGCAAACCAACCAGUUCUCCCAUUUUUUCCCUGUGGAUCGACACCCGAAGUACUACACGAUAGGCCAUGCUUUGCCUUUUGCAGAUGCUAGUACAGUCCUAUUUCAAUCAAAAAGUAGAGUCCUAUUUUCAAGUACAGACCACCGCUUUCUUUUUCUUUGGACUGAAGACCCGCCUGAGUUGAUAGUGCUGACUUCCCACCCGAGACUGACUUGCUUACCUCUGCACCAACAGCUUAAAUAGUAGAAUUUAUAACACUCCAUUCUUCUAUAGAUAGCCUAGAUUCGGAACUAGAAUAUGUGCCCGACUUACCUAUUUCCAAGACAGUUACUCAACUUCCAUCGCCGCUUGACACUCUCGUAGUAGAUCAUAAGAGAAGUAUUCUUUAAAGAAAUUCGUAUAGAAAGAUGGACUAGCUCGAGACCUUGGCUUCAAACAAUCGAUUGAAUCUGGAUUCCUUUGCUUAUCCUUCCUAGCUAUAGUCUCUCUUGUGCCUUCGGCAAUAAAAGUGAAAGAUUUCUGUAUCAGCAGUUUAUUUCCCCAUUUGCUCAAAGAACGCAUAAAACCUGUUCCCUCACCGUAUCAAAAGAUCAAGCAGAAGAGUCCUCUUCUUCAAGAAGAGUUUUUCAUUUCACUCUUCCGCAGCAAUGCCCGGGCAAUAAAACAAUAUGAGCAAAACAAUAUCAUAGCAAACGGUAUGUGUUGGUUGGAUAGAGCAAUCAGUAGUUUACGUUCGAGCCAAUCUUCUCUCUAGUAGACUUUAGAUUCAGUCGUCCGUUUGUUUUGUUUUGAAUUGACAUAGAGAAAUCUUUCUCGCGUUCCCUUAAUUCAGGAAUAGGUGGCGAAGGCUACUUGUUCCUUGUAUAUAUAUAUAUAUAAAGGAAAGGGGUUAUUUUUCCUUUACGGCAAUAAGAGUUGAUUCCCUUGCUUGUAGUUUUGGAUCGAUUCCGUGUAUUUCACAUAUUUAAGAGUGGUUAGGAGAGAGAAUCAAUGUUUAUGGGAAGAGGGAAAGAAAGAUUAGGAGAAGAAGCGGGGUAGAGGAAUUGGUCAACUCAUCAGGCUCAUGACCUGAAGACUACAGGUUCGAAUCCUGUCCCCGCCUAAUCACGUCAGAUACUUGUACGAGUCCUGAUCUCCUGGGAUCAGCAGACAGUCUUACUAGCGAUGAGUAAACAAAGUCGCUAGGAAAGCUAUAGAUAGGUAUCAAGGCACAACCGAACUGACAAGUAAGUUUCGAAGACUUCCACCUAUUAAUGUUCUUUUUAUGUUUUUGCUGCUCGUCUCGCCGUAAGUUAUUGACCAGUACCAAAUGUGACAACCUUCAAUUCAAGUUACAAAACCUGGAAUUUGAAACAGAAGUUAGGGUGCUUGAUGUACAAGGUUAUGAUCUUAUUUUAGGCAUUGACUGGUUGUCAAGUUUUGGUCAAAUGACAGUUGACUGGAGUAAAGGAAUGCUGAAACUCAAGCAUAAAGGCAAUCAGGAUUUUACAAGCAGGGAAACUACCUCGCAUUUGGGC